rnacentral:lncRNA from 1 species
AGGUGGGUAUCUUGUAUCCCUAAUUCUACUCUCCGACACUUGUCCAUUUUUACCUCUCAUCUCACUUUUUCUUUUCUUUCGAGGUUCCAGGCACUUGCCCCUUUUUAUUUCCUUGUAUCUCUUUUUUCUCUUUUUUUAGAGUAGUCAUCUCCUGAAAUAAUAUAGCAAGUGGUAGUAACCAAGAUAACUUGAGCAUUUAUUUCACAGGGGAAAACAUAAAGGUUUUUGGCUAUUCUCUCCCGGAUUAGGAGUAGAAUAUUUUUGGGUGGUUCUGGAGAUGGAAAUGGGUGGAUAUAUGUAGAUGCAUACUUCUAGAGUAGAAACAACAUGUGUGAGUGAACGUGCAAGUGAAUCUUGAUUUUAACCACAUGACAAGCUCCUAAGGGUCUACACAGCUUGACCACACUCAUUGCUCAUAAGUAGUAAAAAGUAAAUGUGUGGCUCAAAGUCUAGCAAGCAUGUAUGUAUAUGGCUGUGGUAGGAAUUUAUACUCUCAUCAUAUAGGAACUCAUCAUGUGAUAUCUUAAAGAUUUUCAAAGAUAAAAUUCUCCAGAUUUCUGACAUUUCUAGGAACAGAUAAACAGCAGCUCAACCUUCCCAUAUCAUAUCCGUUAACAACUUAGACUUUAGAUAAACAGCAGCUCAAUCUUCCCAC